AACGAACGCUGGCGGCAGGCUUAACACAUGCAAGUCGAACGCCCCGCAAGGGGAGUGGCAGACGGGUGAGUAACGCGUGGGAAUCUACCGUGCCCUGCGGAAUAGCUCUGGGAAACUGGAAUUAAUACCGCAUACGCCCUACGGGGAAAGAUUUAUCGGGGUAUGAUGAGCCCGCGUUGGAUUAGCUAGUUGGUGGGGUA
rnacentral:rRNA from 1 species